rnacentral:rRNA from 1 species
AUUGAACGCUGGCGGCAGGCCUAACACAUGCAAGUCGAACGAGUGGCGGACGGGUGAGUAAUGUCUGGGAAACUGCCUGAUGGAGGGGGAUAACUACUGGAAACGGUAGCUAAUACCGCAUACCAUCAGAUGUGCCCAGAUGGGAUUAGCUUGUUGGUGGGGUAACGGCUAACCAAGGCGACGAGCCCUAGCUGGUCUGAGAGGAUGACCAGCCACACUGGAACUGAGACACGGUCCAGACACCAACGGGAGGCAGCAGUGGGGAAUAGUGCACAAUGGGGGAAAGCCUGAUGCAGCACUGCCGCGUGUAUGAAGAAGGCCUUCGGGUUGUAAAGUACUUUCAGCGGGGAGGCGUUACCCGCAGGAGAAGCGCCGGCUAACUCCGUGCGAGCCGCCGCGGUAGUAC